rnacentral:rRNA from 1 species
AACACGGACCAAGGAGUCUAACAUGUGCGCGAGUCAUUGAGUCUUGUACUAAGCUUAAAGGCGUAAUGAAAGUAAAGAUCGUACCCUGCGUCGAUUUAGGGAGGAUGGCCGACGUUACGAUGUCGGCUCGCACUCCCGGGGCAUUUCGUGUUCAUUGCGAACUGAGGUGCACCCAGAGCGCACACGUUGGGACCCGAAAGAUGGUGAACUAUGCCUGGUCAGGACGAAGUCAGGGGAAACCCUGAUGGAGGUCCGUAGCGAUUCUGACGUGCAAAUCGAUCGUCGGAACUGGGUAUAGGGGCGAAAGACUAAUCGAACCAUCUAGUAGCUGGUUCCUUCCGA